rnacentral:lncRNA from 1 species
AGUUCUGCCCCAGGCUCUUUUCCAGGACAGAAGCCUCUCUGGACAGCCUUCUUUCUCUUCUCAGGCAAUUCCUUCUCCUUGGGUUUGUUUUGGAGCCUGAGUGGGGAGCGUGUCUACCUGAGUCGCCUUGGGCACGCUCUCUCCUGUCUUCACAUGUGAUGUAGGAACAGUGAAAGACCUUAGCUCAUGGGAAGGCUGGGAAAAUCCGAGCAUCAAACAUGAUGACAGCGAUAACCACCAGGAUGGUGAUGACGACAACAACGAUGACGGUGGUGAUGAUGAUGACGACGAUGACGAUGACGACGACGAUGACGAUGAUGGUAGUGGUGCUGGCAACAACCCUUUUCAAAUGACCCUUGGACCAGCUCUGACCAAGCCUGGGUUGUGCUGUCAUCCUUCCUGCCCACCUGCAGGAGGCAUAGUGGAUCAUGGGAAGGUCGGGCCAGUUUGGGUAGAACAGCCCCUGGAUUCUAGAGUUGGGGCUUACAGCUUUGUGACUGUAUAAUUAAGAUGAACAUGUAGACCUUAAGGGGGAGACUGCAAAUUUUACCUAAGGUUUAAAGAUAAAAUACAGGGAUUCAGAAAAUGUCCUACUUGCUUUGGGCUUUAACUUUGAGGCAAGAUUAUAAAGUAUCCUGGGGUUCUCUGUCCUUAGGAUCCAGGAGGCAAAGGGCCGGACAGCUCCAGGAAGGAGUCCCCAAGGGCAUGAAGGUCUUCGGAGUUCUUCUUCCUUCUCCUCUUCCUCCUCUUCCUUCUUUUCAUUUUCUUCUUCCUCCUCCUCCUCUUCUUCCUCCUCUUCCUCCUCCCCUCCUUCUCAUCCUCUUUUUGCUUUUCUGUCUUCUCAAUAAACGCCUUUAAAGACAUUGGGAGGGGUGUGGACAGCAGGAAUAUUCACCAAAUGCUGCAUGCAGGUACUGAGGUUUCAGGGACAUUUAACAAAACCAUUUGUUGUUGGACUUUGUUUUAUUUUUGUGAGACAGGGUUUCUCUGUGUAGCCCUGACUAUCCUGGAACUCCCUCUGUAGACCAGGCUGGCCUGGAGAUCAUGAUGUCUCCUGGCCGGGCCUCUGACUCCUGAGUGCUGAGAUUAAAGGUUUGCGCCAACACUCCCCAGCUUAGCCCCUUUUUAUAUAUUUUUAUUAUAAGUAGAUACAAUAAACCUCAAUAAAAUGUACAAAAAAGGAAA